GACGAACGCUGGCGGUGUGCUUAACACAUGCAAGUCGAACGGUAAGGCCCUUUCGGGGGUACACGAGUGGCGAACGGGUGAGUAACACGUGAGUAACCUGCCCUCAUCUCUGGGAUAACAGUCGGAAACGGUUGCUAAUACUGGAUAUGAGCUUGCAAGGCAUCUUGUGGGUUGGAAAGAUUUUUUUGGUUGGGGAUGGACUCGCGGCCUAUCAGCUUGUUGGUGAGGUAGUGGCUCACCAAGGCUUCGACGGGUAGCCGGCCUGAGAGGGCGACCGGCCACAGUGGGACUGAGAUACGGCCCAAACUCCUACGGGAGGCAGCAGUGGGGAAUAUUGCACAAUGGACGGAAGUCUGAUGCAGAAACGCCGCGUGCGGGAUGACGGCCUUCGGGUUGUAAACCGCUUUCAAUUGUGACGAAGCUUUUUGUGACGGUAGCAGUAGAAGAAGCACCGGCUAACUACGUG
rnacentral:rRNA from 1 species